rnacentral:rRNA from 1 species
AGAUUGAACGCUGGCGGCAUGCCUUACACAUGCAAGUCGAACGGCAGCACGGGAGCAAUCCUGGUGGCGAGUGGCGAACGGGUGAGUAACACAUCGGAACGUGCCCAAUCGUGGGGGAUAACUACGCGAAAGCGUAGCUAAUACCGCAUACGAUCUACGGAUGAAAGCAGGGGAUCGCAAGACCUUGCGCGAAUGGAGCGGCCGAUGGCAGAUUAGGUAGUUGGUGAGGUAAAGGCUCACCAAGCCUUCGAUCUGUAGCUGGUCUGAGAGGACGACCAGCCACACUGGGACUGAGACACGGCCCAGACUCCUACGGGAGCAGCAGUGGGGAAUUUGGAC